UCUCACGGGCUCUAGUCCAAGUGUGGUGACACCUCUGGAUGAAGGCGUGAGCGGAGGGGACCGCGACUUCGGAUUCCGUACUGGCAAAAACUUGUGGCUGGUAACCUCAACUACACUCAAAUGGAGUAAGGCCCGUAGCUGACACUGGUAACGAGUGGUGUGCGUACUCCACCAUAGAAAGUUGUUGGCUCCAAGAGGAAGGAUUCUUGGAAACCAAACAUCGCAAUACUCUCUCCAGCUCUUGGUUGGCCCUCUCUGAUUGAUCAUUGCUUUGGGGAUGAAACCCCGAAGAGAGACUAACCGUCGCUCCCAAUAAUCUACAAAACUCUUGCCAAAAUUUGGACACAAAUUGGGGACCCCUGUCGGAGACCACGUCCAUCGGGAGGCCAUGUAAACGAAAGACGUGAUCUAUGACAACAACCGCUGUCUCCUUGGCUGAAGGUAAUUUGGGCAAGGCGAUAAAAUGAGCCGCUUUCGAGAACCGGUCCACAACGUCAAAACGUCAAAACGUCUUGCCCCGGGAGGGCGGUAGCAAAAUCUAGCACGAUGUGGGACCAGGGUCUCAAAGGGACUGACAACGGUUGGAGUAACCCAUCAGGGGGUCGGUUGGACGUCUUACCAGUGGCACAAACAGAGCAAGCCAAAACAAAACUACGGAUAUCACGAGCCAUUAACCGCCACCAGAAUCGUUGUUUAUCCAAAAAACUGGUACGAUUAGCUCCUGGAUGACUUCAGACCGAUACUCCUCAGGCAAAAAUAACCGGUUCGGUGGGCAAUUGGGCCUAGGCGUUACCCCUUCUAAGGCCUUCAUGACCUUCAAUUCGACCUUCCAUCUGAGAGUGGAGACCACUAAUGUCUCGGGUAAAAUACACUCGGGAGUGGACGGGCGUUCGGAAUGGUCAAAAACACGAGAUAAAGAAUCGUGUUUGAUGUUUUUGGAACCCGGGCGGUACGAAAGAGAAAAGUCAAAACGACCGAAAAAAAGUGCCCACCGAGCCUGCCUAGAGUUGAGUCUUUUAGCAGUUCUAAUUGUAACCCAGGUUACCAGUGGAGUAACAGAAAAAAUAUUGUUAUUAAUAUAACACUAUAAUAACGUGAGAGUUAUUAAAAAGUAUUCAAAAUUAGUAAUUUCAAAAAAGAAAAAUAUUACUUUCAUACAAACAUAUAUUUUCAUUUGAGAAAUACUAUGACCAAUGGUGAUUAGUUUUGAACCUGAGAUGAGCCAAUACGAGCGCAGUUUUUGGCGCUGCGUAAGAAUUGAUUUCCGGGUUUUCGCAUGAGGUAUAUGCGUGAAGUUAAGAGGCAACUCUCUCUAGUGUGCACGGAUGCCUGAUGAGUGCUGUGUCUCGAUGCUCCGGGAAACAGAAAUAUAGAAAUUAGCCUUAUAGAUGAGUUUGGUCGAUGGAUUGAUGGUAAAGGGAGCGAUUGUAAUGUGGCGUGCUGUGCCUGCAUCAUUCUGGAAUAUUCUGAGUUAAACGAUUUCCUUGGUCAGGUUUUUUUUCUUCUGUUAUGUCUUUUCCAAAUUCGCUGUGUAUACUGGAUCUGUCCUGGCCUUCCAGUGGUUUUGAGGAGGGUUUGGACUGGCGAGCCUCCCUCGAGUUGUUUUUGGAUCUUUCUGUUGAAGAAGUAUUCGCACUGAUUCAACUGCAAAUGGUAGGAAAAGGACUAACUUUCCUCAUCUUUUUAUUUUUUUAUUUUUUUUUUCCGGAUGGAGACCUUUUUCAUUACCCAGAGAUAAAGGACAAUUAUUUAUUUUAUUUUUUUAUUUUAUUUUUCCUAAAACUUUUCAAAGCACUCUUUCACAAGGACUUCAAUUCUGAUUGGAUUUCAUUGUAAAAGAAAAAAAGAGAAGAACCAUUUGUUGUGCAAUUGGGUUGUAUGUUGUUUAUUUAGGAUUUACCCUGUUGAAACCCAAAGGGAAAAAAAACUGAGAUCUAAAGUGUUGAAAUCUUACAUUCUGGUUGGAAAGGAAAUACAUAUGUACAUUUUAUUUCAUUUUAUUUUAUUUGUUAUCAACCAAUGUAAUUCACCUGUUGUCAUUCACCUGCAAAUACAGUGUGUGUUCAAACGAGUAUUCACUGUUGUUGUGGCAUCUUUCUCAGCAGCGAAUCUGUUUCUUCUGAAAUGCUGGUCCAUAGAUUUCAUUAAGUUAAUAGCCAGAGAAUAAGCGCUACAUAAUGUAUUCUAGGUUCUUGUGAUCGGUCCAAACGAUAAAACGUACCCCUGAGCCUUCUAACCAGUGCCGUCAUUCCUCCAGUGCUAACUUGACUGCCAACAACUCUCUGUUACCAAUGUCAUAAUUACGUUCGGCAGGUGAUAAACGAUGAGAAAAAAAACGCGCAAGGGUGAAUCUUAUCGUCUGUGGCAGAAUGUUGGGAAAGAACUGCUCCUACCCCCACCUCUGACGCAUCGACCUCCACCACGAACUGACGUGAUGGAUCAGGGGCAACGAGGAUGGGAGCCGAAACGAAGCGGCUCUUAAGUUUGGCAAAUAUAGCCUCGGCUGUAUCGGACCACCUGAACGUCGUUCUGGGGGAGGUCAAGGCGGUCAGAGGAGCGACUAGUUGGCUGAAGUUACGAAUAAAACAUCGAUAAAAAUUGGUGAAUCCCAGACACCUCUGUAGGGCCUUACGGGAAUCUGGACUUGGCCAAUCUAUCACAGCCUUAACCUUGUCAGGAUCCAUACGCACUCCCUCAGAUGAGACGAUGUACCCUAAAAAGGGGACGGACUGUGCAUGAAAAACGCAUUUCUCCGCCUUGACAAAAAGCCCAUUCUCUAGCAACCUCUGA